rnacentral:rRNA from 1 species
AAAACUUUCAACAACGGAUCUCUUGGUUCUGGCAUCGAUGAAGAACGCAGCGAAAUGCGAUAAGUAAUGUGAAUUGCAGAAUUCAGUGAAUCAUCGAAUCUUUGAACGCACAUUGCGCCCGCCAGCAUUCUGGCGGGCAUGCCUGUUCGAGCGUCAUUUCAACCCUCGAGCCCGACUCUUUUGAGGACGGCUCGGCGUUGGGGGACGGCAGACUCCCCCCGGCAUCUCGCCGGGGACGCCGCCCCCGAAAUCUAGUGGCGGCCCUCCGAGGCGACCUCUGCGUAGUAACUUGUUCUCGCACCGGAAAGCUCAGAUGCGGCCACGCCGUAAAACCCCAACUUUUUUCAGGUUGACCUCGAAUCAGGUAGGACUACCCGCUGAACUUAAGCAUAUCAAUAAGCGGAGGAAAAGAAACCAACAGGGAUUGCCCCAGUAACGGCGAGUGAAGCGGCAACAGCUCAAAUUUGAAAUCUGGCCCCUAGGGUCCGAGUUGUAAUUUGCAGAGGAUGCUUUUGACAAGGUGCCUUCCGAGUUCCCUGGAACGGGACGCCAUAGAGGGUGAGAGCCCCGUCUGGUCGGAUACCGCGUCUCUGUAAAGCUCCUUCGACGAGUC